rnacentral:rRNA from 1 species
UGGGGAAUCUUGGACAAUGGGCGCAAGCCUGACGACGCAACGCCGCGUGGAGGAUGAAGACCUUCGGGUCGUAAACUCCUUUCGAUCGAGACGAAUGGCCUCCGGGUGAACAAUCCGGAGGAAUGACGGUACCGAGAGAAGAAGCCCCGGCUAACUCCGUGCCAGCAGCCGCGGUAAUACGUAGGUGGCAAGCGUUGUCCGGAUUUAUUGGGUUUAAAGGUGCGUAGGUGGCCCUGUAAGUCAGUGGUGAAAUAUCUCAGCUUAACUGAGAGGGUGCCAUUGAUACUGCAGGGCUUGAGUACAGAUGAGGUAGGCGGAAUUGACGGUGUAGCGGUGAAAUGCAUAGAUAUCGUCAAGACACCGAUAGCGAAGGCAGCUUACCAAGCUGUAACUGACACUGAGGCACGAAAGUGUGGGGAUCAAACAGGAUUAGAUACCCGUAGUCCCUGAGCGGGCUGGCAAGGCGCAU